CACAUGUGACCUGCAGGUGAGGGCUAUUAAACAGAAAAAAGUGGGAAAAUGCAGUGAUGGGAGCUUUUACUUUUAUAAUAACCUGGUCAUUGGGUGAGGGCUAUUAAUUUAAUAACUGGAGGCGUUAUCUAAUGUCCUUUCUAGUCCCCACCCAUGGAUUGGGUGGAGGCUACUGAAAACAUAUUUAAGGGGGUUGAACUAAUUGCAGUUCAAACUGAAAAACUG